UACGAAGGGUGCAAGCGUUACUCGGAAUUACUGGGCGUAAAGCGUGCGCAGGCGGUGAUGUAAGACAGAUGUGAAAUCCCCGGGCUCAACCUGGGAACUGCAUUUGUGACUGCAUCGCUGGAGUGCGGCAGAGGGGGAUGGAAUUCCGCGUGUAGCAGUGAAAUGCGUAGAUAUGCGGAGGAACACCGAUGGCGAAGGCAAUCCCCUGGGCCUGCACUGACGCUCAUGCACGAAGCGUGGGGAGCAAACAGG
rnacentral:rRNA from 1 species